rnacentral:tRNA from 2 species
AAAGCUAUAGUAUAAUUUUUUUAUAUCUCAUUGUCGAUGGGGGGAAGUUUUAGUUUUA